CUUUGAGUGUUUCGACGUGUUAAGUUUCGUGUUAAUUAAAAUGUGUUUGAAAUGUGGAUGGAUAAUUUUGACAAUUUUGUCAAAUGCAUACCAUAUUGGCGCUCAGAUUCCAGUCUUGCCAUCCAACGCAGCAUUGGUAAAUGUUAACGAAGCCUUACAAUUAACCUGCACACAUCCGACUGCAACAGUUGUAAGAUGGUGUUGUCAACAAGCAGGGAAUAGUCCCUCAUCUACUAUCCUUGCAAUGAACAACGCCUGUGAGUUUGCACCUUCGCCCAUACCAGAUGUAUUUUCUACCUGUAUGUGCAAAGGAACGAUAUUUAUGUGCACAUUGAGAUCCCUGGACACAAUUAAUAAUGGGGACGAGUGGAAGUGUUCGGUUACAGAAAACAAAUAAGCAAUAUUCAGUAAUGAGAUAACAAUAAUAAUAACAGUUCCCGUAGUAUGUGCAACUCUGACACCAGAUGUACCUACCAUAUCCGUUUACCCAACAUGGCAAUCAGCUACAUACGCUGCGUAUCAUCAGUAGGACGUCCAGCACCCAUCAUCACGUGCUACCUUAAUGACAAAAUGCCUUCUGACUACAGUGAUGAUGUGGGCCUUACUGGGUAUAGCAGCAGUUUAACAGUGGCUGAUGUGACAUCAAGUAUUCUUACAAUGACGCCUUCCACAAACUAUCAUGAUGCAAGGAUGUACUGUAAUGUCUCUUACGGAUAUGGAAAAAUCAUGUCCAACAGGAUUCUGAGAAUCAAUUUGUUGAGCUAUCCAACUAAGCCGACAAUAAGGUACAACAUGGUUUUUGCACCAUCAAGUAUAAAUGUGAUAAAAACAGUACUUUAACGCUAGAAUAUUCCUCGUACGGCAAUCCGCAGCCGAGCUUUUUAUGGACCUUAUUUAACGGCUAUCUAAUUAGCAGCUCCGUCAUAACAUAAAACGUUGCAACAAAU